rnacentral:rRNA from 1 species
UACAGAGGUCUCAAGCGUUGUUCGGAUUCAUUGGGCGUAAAGGGUGCGUAGGCGGCGCGGUAAGUCGGGUGUGAAAUCUCGGGGCUUAACUCCGAAGCUGCAUUCGAUACUGCCGUGCUUGAGGACUGGAGAGGAGACUGGAAUUUACGGUGUAGCGGUGAAAUGCGUAGAUAUCGUCAGGAAGACCAGUGGCGAAGGCAGGUCUCUGGACAGUACCUGACGCUGAGGCACGAAGGCCAGGGGAGCAAACGGG